UAAGACGAACCGUGCGAACGUUAUUCGGAUUCACUGGGCUUAAAGGGCGCGUAGGCGGUCGAUUUAGUCCGGGGUGAAAUCUUUCGGCUUAACCGGAAAAGGGCCUUGGAUACUGGUCGACUUGAGGGAGGUAGGGGCAUGUGGAACUUCCGGUGGAGCGGUGAAAUGCGUUGAUAUCGGAAGGAACGCCGGUGGCGAAAGCGACGUGCUGGCCCUCUUCUGACGCUGAGGCGCGAAAGCCAGGGGAGCAAACGGGAUUAGAUACCCCGGUAGUCCUGGCCCUAAACGAUGGGUACUAGGUAGUGGGCUUAUAUGGGUUCACUGCCGAAGCAAAAGUGAUAAGUACCCCGCCUGGGGAGUAUGGUCGCAAGGCUG
rnacentral:rRNA from 1 species